rnacentral:rRNA from 1 species
AAUUUUGCGCAAUGGGCGAAAGCCUGACGCAGCAACGCCGCGUGAAUGAUGAAGCCCUUCGGGGUGUAAAGUUCUGUCAGUGGGGACGAAACUUGACGGUACCCACAGAGGAAGCACCGGCUAACUCCGUGCCAGCAGCCGCGGUAAUACGGAGGGUGCAAGCGUUGUCCGGAAUCAUUGGGCGUAAAGCGUUCGUAGGCGGCAUACCAAGUCUGGUGUUAAAUCCCGGGGCUCAACUCCGGUUCGGCACUGGAUACUGGUAAGCUAGAAUGUGGUAGAGGUGAAGGGAAUUCCUGGUGUAGCGGUGAAAUGCGUAGAUAUCAGGAGGAACACCGGUGGCGUAAGCGCUUCACUGGGCCAUAAUUGACGCUGAGGAACGAAAGCCGGGGGAGCAAAUGGG